GCCGGAGGCGGCGGGCCGUCCGUUUAGCCGGGGAUGGCGCUCGGCCGGCUACAUGUCGCACUGUGGACCUCACUCCACCUCGCAGCUGCCCCUACUGCCCAGACGGCAGGCCGGCCUCGUUUGGGCUGCCCUUGGAUAAUUUGCGCGUGAUGAAGUGGUAACCGCAAGGUUUCGGGACGGUUUACGAAGAAGGCCAAGUUCGAGGGCCAGUACAAGAACAUUGUACGCGGCGCGCAGAAGGGUGCCACCAAGGGCGCCAAGGCCCGCGGCCGUUCACGAGCCCGCUGAGGCCGUGCCGCCGUGCAUCAGUCGCGACGCAUUGAGCGGGCUGUGGGAGCCUGGUCAGGCACCGCCGUCGGCCCAUCAAUAUUGCACGCUGAUGGGACCGGCCGCCAGGCUCGAGACAACGCGGCGCGUCCAUGGGCCGCGUGGUGCGUGUGGCGUUGUGUGACGCCGUCGUGGCGGCUGGGGGAGCGUUCUGGGCAGGUCGGCGGCAGGACGUUGUCUGUGGUCUCACUGGCAGUGGCAAGACCUGCACAUUUGAGUACCGGUACAGCUAGCCUGGGAACACCUCCUUUCGAGCCGGUGUGAAUACGAUCUGUGAAUAAAUAUGAGCCGGGAGGUGACA